rnacentral:lncRNA from 10 species
GCAAGAGGGGAAGUUGCUACUGUGAUGAAUUCUGCCAUGUGGCACCAGACUGCCACCCAGACCACAGUGUCCUCUGCAACCCUGCUUCUCAGAUGACCAAGAUGGUGCUGCAGAUGGUGCUGAGGAUGGAGAACCCACCAAGCCCCGCUAGGAGCCACCUAGACUGGAUGCAGAGCAUGGACAAUUUGCUGAGGUCUGGGAGCACCCCCUCCAUAGAGUCCCUGAUCUCUCAAAACUUGGUCGUGAUCUAAAGUUUAUUUGAUGUACAACUCCCCCUCUCCUUCUUUUGGAGUUUUAUUUGCUUCCAAGAAGGAAGGCAAGAUUUCCUGGGUCCGUGAUGAUGGAAGGCUGACAACUCUUUUAUGGAGUUUGAGCUUGCUCCCAGCAGGGAAGACAAGUUCGAGUUUUUUUCCUGCUUCAAGGAUGGUAGAGAGCAGUCUUCAGCCUGAGACCCAUCCCUAGCUCCACCGGGAACUCCACGCCCACGCGCCUCACUUCCAGGUCUCCUUACUGCGUGUCAGGAGAGGCUAACGGACAUCAGCUGCAGCCAGGCAUGUCCCGUAUGCCAAAAGAGGGUGCUGCCCCUAGCCUGGGCCCCCACCGACAGACUGCAGCUGCGUUACUGUGCUGAGAGGUACCCAGAAGGUUCCCAUGAAGGGCAGCAUGUC